AAGAAACGCUGCCAAACAGUAAUUUUCUGAAUUUCCCAAUUAUCGGAGUAUAUUAUUACCGAUUAAUUCCCCGAGCCGUUAACCUCAUCCAUUCCCCCCAGUUGCGAAGCCGGGAACCAUGUAACGUUCCUUUCACCAGUUUGAUCCCCUCGUUCUCGGCCGCUCAUUCCUCAUCCUCAUAUGUUCGCGCUCUAUGUGCUUGCUCCUUUGUUCCUGAGAACCGAGAGAUGGCUCUGAGCGUUCUCUCUCCCUCCAUCUCUCGCCUCUCUCACCAUUCACCUCAUAGCUUUCGAACCUCUUCGCAAAGCACCAGCUCUCUAUUUCUUCUCCUAAGGCGAUGGAACUCAAGUCUCUUCCCUACUCACAACCUCUGUUUCACUUCUUCUCCUUUCACCAAUGGUUGUCACCCCAUAAGCGCUUCUUCUGACCAGAGGGACGGUGUAAGCACCGAGAUUUCCACUCCCACCUUCCUGGAUGAGGAAUUGCUCCGGCGGGUCUCUAGCGCCAGGGAUGCCGACCAAGCCCUGGACAUGAUCGCAGAGGCACAUCGGAGUGUUGGAUAUGGUACCGUGGAGAUUGCCGAUUGUCAUUCGAUCAUCGCGGCUGCAUUUGACCGAGGGAACACCGACUUGGCCCUCUCAAUGUUUCAUGCCAUGCGUUCAGGCUUCAGUCAAGGUGUGAAUGAAAAUAAUUCAUCUAUCGAGGGGUGGACUUGGGCCAGGCCAGAUUUGCGCACAUAUGCAUUGAUGGUUCGGGGGCUUGCAGCAUCAUCACGAGUGUCGGAUGCAAUUAGGAUGAUUUCCUAUGUUUCUCGGGCAGGAGUUUCUGCAGGGUGGGAGGUUUCGUUCGGGAUGAUUGUGCGAUGUCCAAACUGUAUGGUAGCUAUUGCAGUUGCACAACCUCAAGAUGGUGUUCAGGUUGUGUCUUGUUCAAAGUGUCGCUAUCAAUAUGAGCUUGUAUCAGGAGACAUAGUUAGCAUUGAUUCGGAAGAAGUCAGCAUGGAUAUUUCAUCUUGGGAAAAGGCUUUGAGGUUCCUACAAAUAAUGAAAGAAAGUAUUCCUGCUGCUCUGCACUCCAUUGUGGUUCGCACUCCUUCAGGAACAGCUCGUACACAUAGAUUUGCUACAAAGACAGUGGAGCUUCCUGCUCAAGAAGGAGAAAGAGUAACCAUUUCACUAGCAGCUCCAUCAAAUGUUUAUCAGGAAAUGGGACCAUUAAGGUUAAGUGCGAGAUCUCCUGGGUUUGAUCCAGGGGAACCCAUGUGUCUCACAAACCACACUAGUGGACAGGUAUCACAAUUGCUAAGAGUUCCAGUUAAGAAUGGUGGUUCAUUUUUCCUCAACCCAUUUGUUCUGUUCCCUACUCUUGCUUUGCUGGCAACUGGAGAUGCUGCCUCUAUAAUAAUUGACCCCAGCCUUCCAAGACUUAUUUCAGUAGCUGCUGUUGCAUCAUUGGCUGUGGGAACUACAAUGAACCAUGUAUUUCUCCCAGAAUUACGAAAGACCUUUUCUUAUGCUUGGCCCCUUCAUGGUUAUUUCAGCUUCCUCAGAGGACAGUGGAUGUUGUUGCUCUUAAGCAGCAGCUUUUGUCUCAAUAUGACCUGCUGCAGACUCGCAUCCAGGACCUAAGGCAAGCUGCUGAAAAAGAGGUUUGGAUGUUGGCUCGCAUGUGUCAAUUGGAGAACAAAAUUGUAGCUGUAGGGGAGCCUUCUUACCGUGUUUAUCCAUUUUGUAUGAUAAUGGAAAAUGAUGAUGCCUGCGUUCCAGAUAUCUUCAAUGAUUGAGAUUGAAGUGGAAAUGGACUCUGAUGUUCUUGCUGCUGAGGCAGUGAGCAAUGCACAGAGCAUUGCAGAACAGAUACAACAAAUCAUGGAGAUAGAAAAUCUUGAAGAGCGAUGGCGCCUACAAGCAGAGGCAAAUGACGAAGUUGAGAGGCUCCUCAAUUCUCAGCCUGCAUCCACUGAACAUGUGUAGCCAUAUUGCGCUAAUAAAAGCAGCAUGACUCGCAUCUGCCAGCAACCAAUUGAAAUCCUCCCGUAUUUCUUUGUCCAGUGAAAGCCCUAUAAGAGACCUGGAUAAUACUCCAAAAGCAUUCUUCCACUAGCAUCAUUGAAAUUUCUAAGCUUCCUGUUCAUAGUUGUCUUCUCUUCCUAGUUACUUCAUAUAUAUGUUUUAAAAGAUCUUGUCUCUUCUAGUCAACAGAACUGCCUCGACAAUUAUUUGAUGACACUAUGGUAUGCAAGAAGAGGAUCAUGAGUAAUCCUAUAAGUGGGCUGCUCAUCAAGUGCCUUCAUGACUAUAUCAUCUUGCUUGAGCAAGAAAUGUAGGGACACCCAAGUGAUUGUGCUCGAGUGAACCUAUUUAAAGAAAAAAUAUAAUAACAAAAGCCACGGCACAGGACAGCUGCAUUAGUCUUUGGCACUACAGGCUUUGCUGCAAACAAGACAAGAGCAAUACUAAUACUAGUUUUUUUAAGUGUGAAAUGGAUCAGAAAUUCAUGUUAUGUAUGUUAUCAAAUAUUUUUCUUUUUUUUUUUUGUAUCUAAAUUAUAAUCCCCGUCUAUCCUUAUAUAAUUUUCAUUUA